rnacentral:rRNA from 1 species
AACGAACGCUGGCGGCAUGCCUAACACAUGCAAGUCGAACGAGACCUUCGGGUCUAGUGGCGCACGGGUGCGUAACGCGUGGGAACCUGCCCUUAGGUUCGGAAUAACUCCCCGAAAGGGGUGCUAAUACCGGAUAAUGUCUUCGGACCAAAGAUUUAUCGCCUUUGGAUGGGCCCGCGUUGGAUUAGCUAGUUGGUAGGGUAAAAGCCUACCAAGGCGACGAUCCAUAGCUGGUCUGAGAGGAGGCUCAGCCACACUGGGACUGAGACACGGCCCAGACUCCUCCGGGAGGCAGCAGUGGGGAAUAUUGGACAAUGGGCGAAAGCCUGAUCCAGCAAUGCCGCGUGAGUGAUGAAGGCCUUAGGGUUGUAAAGCUCUUUUACCCGGGAUGAUAAUGACAGUACCGGGAGAAUAAGCUCCGGCUAACUCCGUG